ensembl:lncRNA
AUGGGGUCUGUGGGUCCCACCCGUGUCUGUGGGCCCUAUAGGGCUAUGGGUUCUUUGGGGUCCAAUGGGGUCUGUGGGGUUGUGUGGGGUCUGUGGGGUCCUGUGGGGUCCUAUAGGGUUCUAUGGGGUUCUGUGGGUCCCAUGGGGUCCUAUAGGGUUCUGUGGGUCCGGUGGGUCCUAUAGGGCUGGAGGUUCUGUGGGUGCUGUGGGUCCCAUAGCGUUGUGUGUCCUAUGGGGCCCUAUAGGGUUCUGUGGGUCUUAUGGGGUCCUAUAGGGUUCUGGGGGGUUCUGUGGGUCCUGUGGGGUCCUAUAGGGUUCUAUGAGGUUCUGUGGGAUCCUAUAGGGUUCUAUGGGGUUCUGUGGGUCCUGUGGGGUCCUAUAGGGUUCUAUGGGGUUCUGUGGGUUCUGUGGGAUCCUAUAGGGUUCUAUGGGGUUCUGUGGGUCCUGGGGGGUCCUAUAGGGUUCUGUGGGGUUCUGUGGGUCCUGUGGGGUCCUAUAGGGUUCUGUGGGGUUCUGUGGGUCCUGUGGGGUCCUAUAGGGUUCUGUGGGGUUCUGUGGGUGCUGUGGGUCCCAUAGCGCUGUGUGUCCUAUGGGGCCCUAUAGGGUUCUGUGGGUCUUAUGGGGCCCUAUAGGGUUCUGUGGGUCUUAUGGGGUCCUAUAGGGUUCUGGGGGAUUCUGUGGGUCCUGUGGGGUCCUAUAGGGUUCUAUGAG